rnacentral:rRNA from 1 species
AACGAACGCUGGCGGCAUGCCUAACACAUGCAAGUCGAACGAGAUCUUCGGGUCUAGUGGCGCACGGGUGCGUAACGCGUGGGAAUCUGCCCUUUGGUUCGGAAUAACAGUUGGAAACGACUGCUAAUACCGGAUGAUGACGAAAGUCCAAAGAUUUAUCGCAAGAGGAUGAGCCCGCGUAGGAUUAGCUAGUUGGUGUGGUAAAGGCGCACCAAGGCGACGAUCCUUAGCUGGUCUGAGAGGGUGAUCGGCCACACUGGGACUGAGAAACGGCCCAGACUCCUACGGGAGGCAGCAGUGGGGAAUAUUGGACAAUGGGCGAAAGCCUGAUCCAGCAAUGCCGCGAGAGUGAUGAAGGCCUUAGGGUUGUAAAGCUCUUUUACCCGGGAUGAUAAUGACAGUACCGGGAGAAUAAGCUCCGGCUAACUCCGUGCCAGCCGCCGCGGUAA